GCGGCCGUGACCCUGCUGGAGUGCGGGGGGGACCUCCAGCCCCCCGGGAGUUCCCUGGGCCUCCUCUGCCAAGGGUCUGGGUUCAAUUUUGGAAGCUACGACAUGUUCUGGAUCCGGCAGAGACCCGGGCAGGGGCUGGAGUUCAUUGCAGGAAUCUGGAACACUGGUGGUAGCACCUGGUACGCGCCGUUGGUCAAGGGCCGGUUCACGAUCUCCAGGGACAACGGACAGAGCUCGGUGACGCUGACCAUGAACAACCUCAAGGACGAGGAUUCCGGAUCCUAUUACUGCGCCAAAUGUUACACCAAUGGUUGUGGUCCUUCUUAUAUUUAUGCUGCUUUUAUUGACAUUAGACCCGGGCAGGGGCUGGAAUUCGUCCCCUACAUCCGCAGCGGUGGUAGCACCUGGUACGCGGAUUCGGUGAAGGGCCAGUUCAUGAUCGCCAGGGACAACGGGCAGAAUCUCCCGCAGUUCCACAACACAACCAUGGAGCCAAAACCCCCAAACUGGUUCUGCCUGACAUCCAACAAAGUUUGCACCAAAAUCGUCUGA